GCGGGGGUAGCAAAGUCUGGUCAAAUGCGCAGGACUUAAGAUCCUGUCACGUAUGUGUUCGAGGGUUCGAAUCCCUCCCCCCGCA
rnacentral:tRNA from 1 species